AUGGUCUGGGAAACCAUGGUAGGUAGGCCUCCUGCCGGCGACCCUGCCCCUCUUCGCCGCCAGCUCUCCAGAUCCACACAAGGGUCAUAUCACUCCAGCUCGAAUGUCAACAAGACUCCAUGCUCUUCUACAUGCUUACCGGCAAACAGGAGGCACGCAUCUCUGCCGCCGCAGCUCUUAUCAACGCCCGCUUUUGGAGGAUCAUACAUUAUACUAGCUUGUUUAUUCAAGGCUAUUCUUGAUUUCUCGAGUCGAGGCAUCUUUUUCUGCUCCAUGCCCCCCUAUAAAUUUGAGCCACAUUGUUGGGUCAGCUAUCUCCAAGGUUCUAUCUGGAAGAGCAUCCUCAGCAAACUUAUGCAGAUCCAAUGA
rnacentral:rRNA from 1 species